ensembl:lncRNA
GAUUGGCUGUUGAAGAUAAAUGACGGAUGGAUACCAAGACAACAGGCACAAUUAAUGUUGUCGUCUAUCUCUAGUCUCCUCCCUUCUUGUUUAGUUGUUGUUUGACAAAUUCCUCCCUUGGACCACCUUAUCCGUCUUCUUUUAAUGCUGAAGAUAUCCUUUAAAAUGUUUAGCCUUCGAUACUUUCAUUUCAGACUUACCCGUUGUCUUGGUAUUUGUGAUCGUGAUCUCCGAUGUGAUCUCAGAAACCAAACUCUGUGACUUUGUGUGAUGAGGAAUUUAGUAGAACUCAAGCCCCUUGCAGUCACAUGGAAAGCUUGUUAUUUUCGGCAGUGUUUCUUUUUUUAUUGUUUAUCUUUGUUACUUUUUCUCUCAAAAGAUGCUGCACUUGGUCUCGAUAACUAACUGUGUUGGCACCGUUCCUCCUCUCAUAUUCACAUUCUGGUCCAUUCCCACAACAAUUUAUCACUUCAGGUGUUCCCUUUUUUGCCCACAUGAUUUUUCAUCACUAAAUUAUUUAUCCACUGCAUUUUCUACAUAUCUUGGUUAUUCAUUUCAAUGCAUCCCUCCAUGACAUACUUUAUCUACCCAUCCACACACUAGACUUGCAAACAUACAUAUCCAUAGAUCCUUCAACAUACAUCCACAUGCAUACAUAUUAGUAACUAGUAUUCUAUAAUUCAUUGCGAGAUUGCUCAACUAAAGGUCUGUAUUCAAUUUACUCCAGGAUUGGAUUUAUGGAUUUCUUACAAAAACUAUACCUAAAUAUGCACCACAUUACAAAUGUAUUCAAUUUUACAAGAUUAUUCCAACCAUACAACAAGGUCUAUCUAGAUAGUAUUUAAUUAUUAACAAUUCUGUUACGUUUUGAGUUCAGUGCAAUACAUUUCCUGAUAAUGUUGAAAAUAUAUGUGAGUUAUGUCACAUGUCCGUUCUCUGAAUGGAGAAUUCUUAUCUAUAUUUAAUUUUCCCACCACUAACUUCCGGAUAAUAAAAAGAAAGAAAACGAUUGAUUGGACUGUUAAGGUGUUGAGUCAAUGCAUAAUUAAGGCCGCUCACUGUUAAAUUAGGAUCGCAAUUGAACCCGUUUCACAUAAAGAUUAACACUUUUAGGAUACUACAUCAUCAGAUCACUUAUACGAAUAUUAAUAUAUGACAGUUAUUUCCCAAUACUAAGACUAAAAUAAAUCAGAUGGUGUAGGGAGAUAUAGUAAUUGGGAUGGCUAAAUAGGGUUGUGAAUUAAUAAAACUGGUGUUCAACUGGCAUGAUAUUUAUCACUUCUGAUGCCAACAUUGAUAAGUGAUAUCUUGAAAUAUCCCUACAUAUAUUGAUUAAAUAUGACUUAGGAUAGAUUCAUGACUUUGCACUUUCAUGUGGACCAAUAGACCAUAUUUUGAAAUCCUCUUUAGUCAAAUGUUAUAUGAUGGUCACAGUUGGAAUGAAUCUUAGGGGUAGAACAGAAGCCCUUACCAUCUGCCUUGGCGUGCCAUGUAAUCAAAUCCCUAGUGUCUAGUCUUUUAAAGCUACUGCUAUACGCCUUUAUCCACACACAUACAAUGAGGUGUGUUCCUACGGCAAAGAAAAUCCCCUUUAAAUAAAAAAGAUUCACAAGACGCCCUUAUCAUACCGCAAACCAAAGACUUCACUGUGGAGUAAAAGGUUUUAACAUUUGCCCUGUUGUGAGUAAUGAAGGACAUUUCCGCUAAACCACGAUGCACAAUUUGAUCAGAAUGGUCAGUUUGAAAGCAUGGCUCACCUUUUCACUUAAGAUUUAAAUAUCCAUGUAUUUUUCUCUGAAAUAUACACACUAUUUUACACAUACUAGAAUAUUGCAUGAACAUCUGAAUUUGAGAUAAGGAAUAUAGAUAUUUAUUUAUAUAAUUAUAGAAAAAUCUAUAAAAUAUUACUAUGUAAAGAGAGGGUCCCUGGCAAAAAAUCAAUAUUGAAGUAUGUCUAGCUAAAGAGUCUAUCAGAUAUAUUAUAUUUUGAGGUGAACAGAAAUGCAGAUUCAUGUAGAUAUCAUUUAUAUGAUAACAUUAACAUAGUGUGUCAGAGUGCCUGAGUGUGUGUCUGUGUGCGUGUGUGUGUUUAGAAUAAGCCUACCUUGAUUCUCGAGGCAGUCACAACCCAACAUUAUUGGUAACCCAAGCCUAUAUUCUUAUUCGGUUACAGUUCGGUCGGCUAGCUUGAACUUUGCCUCAGGAUGUAGGAGAAGUCCCACUUCCUCGUUCGUGGAGAAUUGUGAGUUGACCACAGCCCUUGAAAAUGAGCAAUGCAAUCUUUAUCCGAAUGGGAAUACCUUUCAACACAUCGUAGUGUCAUAUGCACACACACAAACGCAGUGUGCCCCACUAAUGUGAUCUGUUACCAUAAAAAUAGGACAAUAACACAAUCCUGACCGACGCCUCCAUGGACUGAAUGGCCAUUAUUCAUUGAAAGGUUCAUCCUCACUGCGGUUGUCAUUCGCACCGUCAUCAAUGUCACAUCUCAUCUUGUGCUGCUGAACUUGAAGAAACAGAAGGACUCUUCCUGCUGGAGGUUUCACAAAGGGAAACCCAUCAAGCUAGCAAUGUAGAGUUAAAAAUGUAAUACCACUCCAGUCCUUAAAAGAGAUGCGUCAUUUACAGCACAAUAAAUCCACAAGUUAGUUUUCUGUUGAGAUAUGUGCUAGAUAUAUUGCACACUGAGAUUUCUGUAGGCCUAUGAAUUUCCAUGGACGUUUCAUCCUUUGUUUCUUCAUGUCUGGACAGGAAUUGAAAUGUUUGAAAUUGUUAGUUUUAUUUAUUGUUUCUAACAUUAUUUUCUAACAUUUCCCACAUACUACUAGGGAACAUUUUAUUUGUGUCCGUUGCAAUGUGUUGGAGAUGAAACAUCUUUUUAAAGACUGCUCCUGUGUGAGAACAUUGCAGAGCUGAAUGUUUGUCUUCUGGGAGCAUAGCACGGUAAAUUGGUUGUCUUUACAAGGGCACAAAGGAUUCUAGAUGAUUCUACUCCAAAAUCGGAUUCCUCUGUAGCCUUUAAAACAAACGGAAAACCGGUUCUGUGACAUUCUCCAAGUAACAGAGUGGGGUUAUGAAAUUAGAAAAUAGUUUUUAUUCCUAGUUUUUUUAACUUAACUGCUGUACAGCUCAAGAACUGUAUCUCAAAAGUUUAUUUUUUUUAUCAUUUGCCCCAGGAAAAUAUAAUCCAAUGGCUGGUAAAUUAUCGAUGAGGAUAGCAUUUUCAAUGAGAAACCAAACAGGAUUAUUUUAUUUCUAAACUCAUAUCUAUACAUGUGGGGAGGGGGCCUACAUCAGAUAUUGUAUAUGAAUGCAGC